UACGUAGGGUGCGAGCGUUUGUCCGGAAUUAUUGGGCGUAAAGAGCUCGUAGGCGGUGUGUCACGUCGGCCGUGAAAACCUGCAGCUUAACUGUGGGCGUGCGGUCGAUACGGGCAUCACUGGAGUUCGGCAGGGGAGACUGGAAUUCCUGGUGUAGCGGUGAAAUGCGCAGAUAUCAGGAAGAACACCCGUGGCGAAGGCGGCUCUCUGGGACGGUACUGACGCUGAGACGCGAAAGCGUGGGGAGCGAACAGG
rnacentral:rRNA from 1 species